rnacentral:misc_RNA from 1 species
GAUGAAGACGUAGCGAAAUGCGAUAAGUAAUGUGAAUUGCAGAAUUCAGUGAAUCAUCGAAUCUUUGAACGCACAUUGCGCCCGCCAGUAUUCUGGCGGGCAUGCCUGUUCGAGCGUCAUUUCAACCAUCAAGCCCCAGGCUUGUGUUGGGGACCUGCGGCUGCCGCAGGCCCUGAAAACCAGUGGCGGGCUCGCUGUCACACCGGGCGUAGUAGAUUUUAUCUCGCUCAGGGCGUGCUGCGGGUUCCGGCCGUUAAAAAGCCUUUUUUACCCAAGGUUGACCUCGGAUCAGGUAGGAAGACCCGCUGAACUUAAGCAUAUCAAUAAGCGGAGGA